UUGCAGGACAAAACGCAUGGCGUUUUGAACAGCGCUUGCGCUGGCCCCGAAGGGGCGAGGCCCAUGGAUGGGCCGAGGUGUAAAGCCAAC
rnacentral:ncRNA from 1 species